AGCUACGAUUUGGUUUUUGAUUUUUUUCAUCAUCGAGCAAUUUCAUUGCUUUGAUGCAAAAACAAGAGGCAUUUACGGAGGGAUUUGGUGCUGUUUUGAUCUCUGGGUUUAGUUAUGCCAGAGAUCUUACGUGAGGAGAGCAGUUCAUCUUCAUCAACCACCGCCGGCACCAUCGCCGGCGCCGGCACCGGAGAUUUCAAGCUUAACAUAUUUGGGAAAUAUGAGGUCGGGAAGCUUCUGGGUUGUGGUGCUUUUGCAAAGGUUUAUCAUGCUAGGGAUGUGAGGACGAGACAGAGCGUGG
rnacentral:misc_RNA from 1 species